GACGAACGCUGGCGGCGUGCUUAACACAUGCAAGUCGAGCGGUAAGGCCCUUUCGGGGGUACACGAGCGGCGAACGGGUGAGUAACACGUGGGUGACCUGCCCUCAGCUCUGGGAUAAGCCUGGGAAACUGGGUCUAAUACUGGAUAUGACUCCACGGUGCAUGUCGUGGGGUGGAAAGCCUUGUGCGGCUGAGGAUGGGCCCGCGGCCUAUCAGCUUGUUGGUGGGGUGAUGGCCUACCAAGGCGACGACGGUAGCCGGCCUGAGAGGGCGACCGGCCACACUGGGACUGAGACACGGCCCAGACUCCUACGGGAGGCAGCAGUGGGGAAUCUUGCGCAAUGGGCGAAAGCCUGACGCAGCGACGCCGCGUGAGGGAUGAC
rnacentral:rRNA from 1 species